GUCUAAGGCCAUUCCACCUUGAACGCGCCUGAUCUUGUCUGAUCUGGAAAGAUAAGCAAGGUUCUGGGUAGUACUUGGACGGGAGACCACUUGGGAAUAUCGGGUGCUGUAGGCU
rnacentral:rRNA from 1 species